AUAAAUGAUAAAGAUAAACUGUAAACAGCAAAUAUGUUCAGCAAAGUAAGAUCUACAGAUAAGUUUAUGACCAAAAUUGUAAAGUGACUCCUUAAAGAGUUAUUGCCCUAUAAGGACAAUUUUACACAAUUUGUUUAUCAUGUUUUCUAACUUGAAAAAAUCUUCUUUUCUGAAACCACUGAACCAAUUCCAACCAAACUUAAUCUGAAUGAUUUUUAGGGUGUCUAGAAUAAAGUUUGUGUUUUAUUUUCUAUUUCGUCAAAAAAAAUGGCCACCGUGGCUAAAAAUAGAACAUAGGGGUAAAAUGCAGUUUUUGGCUUAUAUUUCAAAAACCAAAGCAGUUACAGCAAAUCAGCAAAGGAGUAAAAGUGUUCAUAAGGUAAAGUUCUAUCAGCCCUGAAAUUUUCAGAUGAAUGUUAUAACCAAUUGUUGGGUUGCUGCCAUUAAAUUGGUAAUUUGAAGGAAAUUUUGCAGUUUUUAGUGAUUAUCUUGAAUGGUAUUAAUGAUGAUGUUAAGCUGUGAACAGCAAAUAUGUUCAGCAAAGUAAGAUCUACAAAUAAGUUUAUAUGACCAAAAUUGUCAAUUGACCCCUUAAAGAGUUAUUGCCCUUUAAGGACAAAUUUACACAAUUUGUUUAUCAUGUUUUCUAACUUUAAAAUAUCUUCUCCUUUUAAUAUACAUUAAACAAACAAAAAAACUACAAUGAAAUUGGACAUUUAAACUCUUAAACGAUAAAUAAAUGCCAAAAAAUCAAGGUGAUCAAUUCAGGCUUUUGAGAGCCUCUUGUUUUGUCAAUAACUUGAAGCAUUCCUAAUGAAGGAUAUUUCAGAAACAAAAUGUGCACAAGAAAAUGAGUGUCACACAUUUUUCUAAGGAUAUUAUCUUUCAGAGAUUUGUUUUAUGUUUUCUGGUUUUUGCAUCCCUUCUACUAUUCCAUAUCAGUUUAAAUAUUUUAAGUCAAGGUUGUUUACAAUAAAGAUUAACACAUUAACUUGAAACUUAGUGCACAUGUUAAAAUUAUAUACCAAAUUAUGAUUUGUUGUCCCUGAUUGGAGUCAUGUGACCAUUAAGCAUUUUUGUCUUUCAAACUACCCACUGUCUAAAAUAAAUCUUCCUCUUGACUUCUACUUUUUUCAAGUGCUAGUCAUUCCCGUCUCCCAGAUAAAUCCAAUUGACUUUAUAUUAGCUAAAGUAUAAAUUAUUUUGAAUAUUAGAUACCCAACUUCAUAUUUGCUCUACAUGGGAAAUGAUGAACAUCCGCUUACUUGCUAACAAAUGUGGCUUUGCUUUUUGGUAAACAUUUCCUUUAAUUUUUAUUUGCUUUUUUUUUUGCCUUUUUGCAAUCUAGACUGUAAUGGUUAAUAUAGUUGAUAUUUAAUAUAUUACAUAUUGAUAUAGUUAUUUGUUUUUAAUGGUGCUAAGGGGUAGGUAUUUAUGAACACAAACCAAACUUAUUAGCUUUUACCAUCUGUAUUCACUUGCAUUUGUAGGGAUCAUUUUAUAGAGUACUAAACUUUUGUAUGAAUUCA
rnacentral:lncRNA from 1 species